rnacentral:rRNA from 1 species
UAGGGAAUCUUCGGCAAUGGACGGAAGUCUGACCGAGCAACGCCGCGUGAGUGAAGAAGGUUUUCGGAUCGUAAAGCUCUGUUGUAAGAGAAGAACGAGUGUGAGAGUGGAAAGUUCACACUGUGACGGUAUCUUACCAGAAAGGGACGGCUAACUACGUGCCAGCAGCCGCGGUAAUACGUAGGUCCCGAGCGUUGUCCGGAUUUAUUGGGCGUAAAGCGAGCGCAGGCGGUUAGAUAAGUCUGAAGUUAAAGGCUGUGGCUUAACCAUAGUAGGCUUUGGAAACUGUUUAACUUGAGUGCAAGAGGGGAGAGUGGAAUAUUCCAUGUGUAGCGGUGAAAUGCGUAGAUAUAUGGAGGAACACCGGUGGCGAAAGCGGCUCUCUGGCUUGUAACUGACGCUGAGGCUCGAAAGCGUGGGGAGCAAACAGGAUUAGAUACCCUGGUAGUCCACGCUGUAAACGAUGAGUGCUAGGUGUUAGACCCUUUCCGGGGUUUAGUGCCGUAGCUAACGCAUUAAGCACUCCGCCUGGGGAGUACGACCGCAAGGU